AGCUCUGGGGUGUCACCACGUUAGAUUGCAAAUCUAAAGAAGCCGACUAAUCGCCGGCCGGGGCUU
rnacentral:tRNA from 1 species